UCCGGUUGAUCCCGCCGGACCUGACUGCUAUCGGAUUGAUACUAAGCCAUGCGAGUCAUUGUAGCAAUACAAGGCAUACGGCUCAGUAACGCGUAGUCAACCUAACCUAUGGACGGGAAUAACCUCGGGAAACUGAGAAUAAUGCCCGAUAGAACACUAUACCUGGAAUGGUUUGUGUUCCAAAUGAUUUAUCGCCAUAGGAUGGGACUGCGGCCUAUCAGUUUGUUGGUGAGGUAAUGGCCCACCAAGACUAUUACAGGUACGGGCUCUGAGAGGAGUAGCCCGGAGAUGGGUACUGAGACACGGACCCAGGCCCUAUGGGGCGCAGCAGGCGAGAAAACUUUGCAAUGUGCGAAAGCACGACAAGGUUAAUCCGAGUGAUUUGUGCUAAACGAAUCUUUUGUUAGUCCUAGAAACACUAACGUAUAAGGGGUGGGCAAGUUCUGGUGUCAGCCGCCGCGGUAAAACCAGCACCUCAAGUGGUCAGGAUGAUUAUUGGGCCUAAAGCAUCCGUAGCCGGCUCUGUAAGUUUUCGGUUAAAUCUGUACGCUUAACGUACAGGCUGCCGGGAAUACUGCAGAGCUAGGGAGUGGGAGAGGUAGACGGUACUCGGUAGGAAGUGGUAAAAUGCUUUGAUCUAUCGAUGACCACCUGUGGCGAAGGCGGUCUACCAGAACACGUCCGACGGUGAGGGAUGAAAGCUGGGGGAGCAAACCGGAUUAGAUACCCGGGUAGUCCCAGCUGUAAACUAUGCAAACUCAGUGAUGCAUUGGCUUGUGGCCAAUGCGGUGCUGCAGGGAAGCCGUUAAGUUUGCCGCCUGGGAAGUACGUACGCAAGUAUGAAACUUAAAGGAAUUGGCGGGGGAGCACCACAAGGGGUGAAGCCUGCGGUUCAAUUGGAUUCAACGCCGGA
rnacentral:rRNA from 1 species